rnacentral:rRNA from 1 species
AGAGUUUGAUCAUGGCUCAGAUUGAACGCUGGCGGCAGGCCUAACACAUGCAAGUCGAGCGGUAGCACAGAGAGCUUGCUCUCGGGUGACGAGCGGCGGACGGGUGAGUAAUGUCUGGGAAACUGCCUGAUGGAGGGGGAUAACUACUGGAAACGGUAGCUAAUACCGCAUAAUGUCGCAAGACCAAAGUGGGGGACCUUCGGGCCUCAUGCCAUCAGAUGUGCCCAGAUGGGAUUAGCUAGUAGGUGGGGUAACGGCUCACCUAGGCGACGAUCCCUAGCUGGUCUGAGAGGAUGACCAGCCACACUGGAACUGAGACACGGUCCAGACUCCUACGGGAGGCAGCAGUGGGGAAUAUUGCACAAUGGGCGCAAGCCUGAUGCAGCCAUGCCGCGUGUGUGAAGAAGGCCUUCGGGUUGUAAAGCACUUUCAGCGGGGAGGAAGGCGGUAAGGUUAAUAACCUUGUCGAUUGACGUACCCGCAGAAGAAGCACCGGCUAUG